UUAAAUUGAAGAGUUUGAUCAUGGCUCAGAUUGAACGCUGGCGGCAGGCCUAACACAUGCAAGUCGAACGGUAGCACAGAGAGCUUGCUCUCGGGUGACGAGUGGCGGACGGGUGAGUAAUGUCUGGGAAACUGCCUGAUGGAGGGGGAUAACUACUGGAAACGGUGGCUAAUACCGCAUAACGUCGCAAGACCAAAGAGGGGGACCUUCGGGCCUCUUGCCAUCAGAUGUGCCCAGAUGGGAUUAGCUUGUUGGUGAGGUAACGGCUCACCAAGGCGACGAUCCCUAGCUGGUCUGAGAGGAUGACCAGCCACACUGGAACUGAGACACGGUCCAGACUCCUACGGGAGGCAGCAGUGGGGAAUAUUGCACAAUGGGCGCAAGCCUGAUGCAGCCAUGCCGCGUGUAUGAAGAAGGCCUUCGGGUUGUAAAGUACUUUCAGCGGGGAGGAAGGUGUUG
rnacentral:rRNA from 1 species